rnacentral:rRNA from 1 species
GCAAAUCAAUAUAAAUUGAUUAAUAUUUGUUUAUUAAUUUUUUGCUGUUUUUUGAUUUAUUUAUUAAAAAUAAUUAUAUAAUUUGAGUGUUUUAGUAGUUUUUAAUGAAAAAAUAAUUUUUAUGGUAGUGGAUAAAGUAUUGUGAAAGGUGGCUGAAAUAUUUUGAAAAAUUUUUAUUUGUAAAGAAAAUUUUGUUUAUUGUACCUUGUGUAUCAGGGUUUAUUUAAUAAUUAAUAUUUAUUAUAUUGAUCUCGAUUUUAUAAGAGUUAAUAAUUUAUAAAAGUUAAUGUGUUAAAAUUAUUUUCAAUAAGUUAUUAGAGAUGAAAAGUUAUUCGUUUAUAAAGGUAUCUAGUUUUUUUAGAAAUAAAUUUAAUUUACAAAUUUUUAAUUUUUUAAUUAUUUAUUUAAUUGAAAAAUUUAUUAAUUUGAAUAUUUUAAGGGAUAAGCUUUAAAGUAAAUUAUUAAAAAUAAGUAAGUAUAAUAUUAAAUAUAUGCUUAGAAUUAGCAGUUAUUUAUAAGUUUGUUAUGAAUUAUUAUAAAAAUUUUAUUAUUUAUUAUAUUUUAAUUUUUUAUGAAAAUUUUUUUGUGAAUGUUUAUUGAAAAGUAAAAGUGAUGAAAUUAGUAUAUUAUGUUGUUUUAAUAAAUUGUUAUGAUAAGUUUAUAUAAAGAACUCGGCAAAUUAUAUACUCGCCUGUUUAACAAAAACAUGUCUUUUUGAGUUAUUUUUAAAGUCUAACCUGCCCAAUGAGUAAUCUUUAAUGGCCGCAGUAUUUUAACUGUGCAAAGGUAGCAUAAUCAUUAGUCUUUUAAUUGAAGGCUGGUAUGAAUGGUUGGACGAAGUAUAAUCUGUUUCAUAUAAAUUUAUAAUAGAAUUUUAUAUUUUAGUUAAAAAGCUAAGAUUUUAUUAAAAGACGAGAAGACCCUAUAAAUCUUUAUAUUUAUUAUUAUUUAAGUUUUAUAGAUAUUUUUUAUUUUUUUAAUAUUAAUUAUUUUGUUGGGGUGAUGUUGAAAUUUAAUUAACUUUCAAUUGUUCUAUUCAUUAAUUUAUGAAUUAUUGAUCCAAUUUAUAUUGAUUAUAAGAUUAAGUUACUUUAGGGAUAACAGCGUAAUUUUUUUGGAGAGUUCAUAUCGAUGAAAAAGUUUGCGACCUCGAUGUUGGAUUAAGGAAUAUUUUUAGGUGUAGCCGCUUAAAUGUAAAGUCUGUUCGACUUU